rnacentral:rRNA from 1 species
GACGAACGCUGGCGGCGUGCUUAACACAUGCAAGUCGAGCGGAAAGGCCCCUUCGGGGGUACUCGAGCGGCGAACGGGUGAGUAACACGUGAGCAACCUGCCCCUGACUCUGGGAUAAGCCCGGGAAACUGGGUCUAAUACCGGAUAUGACCACCGUCCGCAUGGUCUGGUGGUGGAAAGUUCUUUCGGUUGGGGAUGGGCUCGCGGCCUAUCAGCUUGUUGGUGGGGUGAUGGCCUACCAAGGCGACGACGGGUAACCGGCCUGAGAGGGCGACCGGUCACACUGGGACUGAGACACGGCCCAGACUCCUACGGGAGGCAGCAGUGGGGAAUAUUGCGCAAUGGGCGGAAGCCUGACGCAGCGACGCCGCGUGGGGGAUGACGGCCUUCGGGUUGUAAACCUCUUUCAGCAGGGACGAAUUCAGACGGUACCUGCAGAAGAAGCGCCGGCUAACUACGUGCCAGCAGCCGCGGUAAUACGUAGGGCGCAAGCGUUGUCCGGAAUUAUUGGGCGUAAGGAGCUCGUAGGCGGCUUGUCGCGUCGGGUGUGAAAGCCCACAGCUUAACUGUGGGUCUGCAUUCGAUACGGGCAGGCUAGAGGCAGGUAGGGGAGCAUGGAAUUCCCGGUGUAGCGGUGAAAUGCGCAGAUAUCGGGAGGAACACCGGUGGCGAAAGCGGUGCUCUGGGCCUGUACUGACGCUGAGGAGCGAAAGCGUGGGGAGCGAACAGGAUUAGAUACCCUGGUAGUCCACGCCGUAAACGUUGGGCGCUAGGUGUGGGGUCCUUCCACGGGUUCCGCGCCGUAGCUAACGCAUUAAGCGCCCCGCCUGGGGAGUACGGCCGCAAGGCUAAAACUCAAAGGAAUUGACGGGGGCCCGCACAAGCGGCGGAGCGUGUUGCUUAAUUCGACGCAACGCGAAGAACCUUACCAAGGCUUGACAUCGCCGGAAAUCCCGCAGAGAUGUGGGGUCCUUUUUGGGCCGGUGACAGGUGGUGCAUGGCUGUCGUCAGCUCGUGUCGUGAGAUGUUGGGUUAAGUCCCGCAACGAGCGCAACCCUUAUCUUAUGUUGCCAGCACGUUAUGGUGGGGACUCGUGAGAGACUGCCGGGGUCAACUCGGAGGAAGGUGGGGAUGACGUCAAGUCAUCAUGCCCCUUAUGUCCAGGGCUUCACACAUGCUACAAUGGCCGGUACAAAGGGCUGCGAUGCCGUGAGGUGGAGCGAAUCCUUUCAAAGCCGGUCUCAGUUCGGAUCGGGGUCUGCAACUCGACCCCGUGAAGUCGGAGUCGCUAGUAAUCGCAGAUCAGCAACGCUGCGGUGAAUACGUUCCCGGGCCUUGUACACACCGC